rnacentral:rRNA from 1 species
AACGAACGCUGGCGGCAUGCCUAACACAUGCAAGUCGAACGAGACCUUCGGGUCUAGUGGCGCACGGGUGCGUAACGCGUGGGAAUCUGCCCUUGGGUUCGGAAUAACAGUGAGAAAUUACUGCUAAUACCGGAUGAUGACGAAAGUCCAAAGGUUUAUCGCCCAAGGAUGAGCCCGCGUAGGAUUAGCUAGUUGGUGAG